rnacentral:lncRNA from 1 species
GUCAGACCCUGUUUAUUAAGGUAUAUUCUAUUUUUUUGAGUAAACCUAUUUUCUAUUUUUGAGUAAGCUUAUAUUACUUUAAAUUGUUGAACCCCUAUUUAAAGUGUACCUUUAAACUAUGUUUCUAUUAAGAUCACCUCUCUGGUAUAUGCUACUGGUGAAACAAAGAGAUGGGAACAAAAAGACCCCUAUUCUAUAGGCCUUGUUUAUGUCUUAAACCCAGACCACUUCCUUUAUUCGUAGAGUACAUAAAUCAUGAAUGACCAGUGGAUACAGUUACUGGUACCCCUUUGUCUUGGGGAUAGGGAAUAGUGGGGUUGUUUGCCUGGUUUGGAAGAAAGAUUGGCUUUCUCGUUGAGAGCAAGUUUAGACUUCAAGGCAGAUAGACGUGUGAUGUAACUUCCCCCAGAAGUUACUAUGUCGCAGCUUUUUAAGACCUGCCUUGAUUUUGUUUCUUAACAGAGUUCCACCAUGGUUCCACCAUGGUUCCAGUUCCAUUUCCCUCGGGACAAGAGUUGGGACUGCUGUCGUUGUUCAGGCAACGCUCUCCGCCUGAUCGAUGUAUUUAGUGCUUACUGACGAACGACUUGUGUUUUAUCAUUGGUACUUAAUAUGAACAUCUAUUCUUUUCUUCUAUUUCCCUAAUAUGUUUCUACUGUACAGUGUAGUUUAGUUUGUUCCUUUCCUAUCAGUUAUUUUACCUGUAUAUGUUAAGAGUUAUCACUGUAAGUUUGUGAAGCCUUGCAUGUCGGCUAAAGAUUCCGCUGAUAUAUAUAACUAUUAUAUGUUUAUCAAUACAUGUUUUUAUGUAUUAUACUUAUUAUUUGGAUGAGUGAUAUUUUGUAGCUUAGCCUACCUUUGAGGUUAAGUGUUAAUAAAUCCUUUCUUUUGGAUCUUUCACUCAAACUACUCUGUGGAGAUAUCCUUAUUUGUUUUUGUUGGUUCUUUAACUAAAAUCUCCUGUAUAAAAUAAACCCCUGAACUGGGUGCAGGUGAACAAGGAUUUACCUGUGUUAACAAAUGGAGGCACUGCCCGGAUAUUAAAUUUUCUUGGAAAAUAAUAGGUGUUUUUCCCAAAAGGAAAAUCCUGUUUAGAUUAUACAUUUUUUUAUAAUUGCUUCAAUUGAGAAUUAGGUUCUCUUUACCUCUCUUUUUGCUUAGAAGAGAUUAACUAUUUUCUGUGUAUAUGAUUGUUGUGUUGAUUGCCACAACUUGUAAAACACUAAGUUGGACAUAGCGUAUAUUUGAAAGUGGUCUUAAUAAUUUGAAGUGUGACCUAAUCAAUUUUUGUUGCUGUUGUUCAGGUCAAAUCAGUAGCAGCCCUACUACUGACAGGCGUAACAGUAAACAAGGGGUAGCUUGUCCAGCUUAGUUGUUACUGUGGUUUCUAUUUUACUAUAUCAAUAUUCUCAUCAUAUAAUUAUUUUGUUUUUUAUAUAAUAAUUAGCACGUUCUUGAAUCCUGAUUGGUGUUAUAAAUAGUAUAUUUAGGCACCUUAAUAUCUUAAACUAUUUUGUAACCCUGUUUUUGGAUAGUUUAGCUUUAUAAUCUUUUUAAAAAAAAUGUCUGACUCUAACCCUAAGUUUAAGGCAGAGCUAGUGAAGUUUCUGGCCGAACAGGUGGCCAAAGAUAAACCUAAAAAGUGUCCCAUAAGGCGAUCUGCAAUUAUGAGUUUGCAGAUGACGCCAUCUCAUCAGGCCACAUCUGAUAAAUCUCCAGCCGCACUAGUAGUGGGUACCCAAUUCACUGUCUGGGCUGAGGUUGACGGAGUGUGUGCCCUAUGAGUGCCUUAUGGACACUAGGUCGAUCCCAAGUGACAUGCAUAUCUGCUUAUUGUUAUCACGAAAAGUUAGCGCACCGUCACUUGGAAUCCAUGACGACCUGUUCGUGUUUGGUGCAGGUGGAAUCAGAAGUUCCAUACAUUGUUGGGUACAUCGAGGCCCAUCUGCACUUUCACACUGACAAUUAGGUUUGCGUUCAGUCAGAGACGACAACGCUGGCACUGGUUAUUUUUAUUUUACAAGUUUUAUUGGACAAGUUAGCACCAAACCAAUGAAAUCCUUAAUUGCCACCACCCUUCCCGGGUGAAGCUCAUUCUACCCAAGAAUGAAGAAUAGUGGCAGGAGGAAUCCUUCGGCAGUUCUCUGGAAAGGGAGUGUCGUCUGAUAGUUGGAUGCGGUGUUUGACCGAAGAGGUGUACCCAAUGUUGAGGUCAUCUACAGAGAAUUACAUCUUGCCAUCUAGGUAGGAAAGUAUGAGAUUGGUUAAUCUCUCUCUGUCCUCUGAAGUCUGCGGAAAUUUAUCAUUGUAUUGACUUGUAAUUAAAGAUGUCGGGACGCCAUGAUUCUAGGAGGGGAGAGUGUCAGACCCUGUUUAUUAAGGUAUAUUCUAUUUUUUUGAGUAAACCUAUUUUCUAUUUUUGAGUAAGCUUAUAUUACUUUAAAUUGUUGAACCCCUAUUUAAAGUGUACCUUUAAACUAUGUUUCUAUUAAGAUCACCUCUCUGGUAUAUGCUACUGGUGAAACAAAGAGAUGGGAACAAAAAGACCCCUAUUCUAUAGGCCUUGUUUAUGUCUUAAACCCAGACCACUUCCUUUAUUCGUAGAGUACAUAAAUCAUGAAUGACCAGUGGAUACAGUUACUGGUACCCCUUUGUCUUGGGGAUAGGGAAUAGUGGGGUUGUUUGCCUGGUUUGGAAGAAAGAUUGGCUUUCUCGUUGAGAGCAAGUUUAGACUUCAAGGCAGAUAGACGUGUGAUGUAACUUCCCCCAGAAGUUACUAUGUCGCAGCUUUUUAAGACCUGCCUUGAUUUUGUUUCUUAACAGGUAAGCGAACACCCACCUUCCUAAAAGUAUAUUCAUGUUCUAUUCUAGUAAAUUAUAGAGAUAUCACAAGUUCCUAAUGCAAUUUGAAUUAAUUGUAUGAUAUUGUUUAGUGUGAUUCUCCUUACGUUGGAAAACCCAUUGUUAUAUUUUCAUGUGUUUAUUCCUUAACUUUUGAUACAAGAUGGUUGUGACUGUGUAUGAAUUAAGAUACCACUUUCCACAAGCCAGACCUAUUUAUAGAUAUUUCAGUCAUUGUAAAAUACUUUUUGAUUAGAUAGUUUAGUGAUAGCCCAAUAACUACUUGUAAGACGAUAAAUACUCUUGUUGAACUACUGUGUUCCAUAUAAAGAAGAAUUAUUAUUGAUUAAGUAGGAGAGCAAGUUUAGACUUCAAGGCAGAUAGACGUGUGAUGUAACUUCCCCAGAAGUUACUAUGUCGCAGCUUUUUAAGACCUGCCUUGAUUUUGUUUCUUAACAGAGUUCCACCAUGGUUCCACCAUGGUUCCAGUUCCAUUUCCCUCGGGACAAGAGUUGGGACUGCUGUCGUUGUUCAGGCAACGCUCUCCGCCUGAUCGAUGUAUUUAGUGCUUACUGACGAACGACUUGUGUUUUAUCAUUGGUACUUAAUAUGAACAUCUAUUCUUUUCUUCUAUUUCCCUAAUAUGUUUCUACUGUACAGUGUAGUUUAGUUUGUUCCUUUCCUAUCAGUUAUUUUACCUGUAUAUGUUAAGAGUUAUCACUGUAAGUUUGUGAAGCCUUGCAUGUCGGCUAAAGAUUCCGCUGAUAUAUAUAACUAUUAUAUGUUUAUCAAUACAUGUUUUUAUGUAUUAUACUUAUUAUUUGGAUGAGUGAUAUUUUGUAGCUUAGCCUACCUUUGAGGUUAAGUGUUAAUAAAUCCUUUCUUUUGGAUCUUUCACUCAAA